GUCCACACCGUAAACGUUGGAUACUAGUUUUCGUGAGAAUGAUCAUGAGAGACCAAGGGAAACCGAUAAGUAUCCCACCUGGGGAGUACGCUCGCAAGGGUGAAACUCAAAGUAAUUGACGGGGGCCCGCACAAGCGGUGGAGCAUGUGGUUUAAUUCGAUGAUACGCGAGGAACCUUACCUGGGCUAGAAUGCCCCUUGACCGCAUCCGAAAGGAUGUUUUCCUUCGGGGACAAGGUGCAAGGUGCUGCAUGGUUGUCGU
rnacentral:rRNA from 1 species